GUUAAUGUAGCUUAAAACAAAGCAAAGCACUGAAAAUGCUUAGAUGGAUUUUUNAAUCCCAUAAACA
rnacentral:tRNA from 1 species